rnacentral:rRNA from 1 species
CCUACGGGGGGCUGCAGUAAGGAAUAUUGGACAAUGGCCGCAAGGCUGAUCCAGCCAUGCCGCGUGCAGGAAGAAGGCCCUAUGGGUCGUAAACUGCUUUUGAACUAGAGAAAACCCCCUUACGUGUAAGGGGCUGAUAGUAUAGUUAGAAUAAGCAUCGGCUAACUUCGUGCCAGCAGCCGCGGUAAGACGAAGGAUGCAAGCGUUAUCCGGAUUCAUUGGGUUUAAAGGGAGCGUAGGCGGACUGAUAAGUCAGUGGUGAAAUCUUUGGGCUUAACCCAGAAACUGCCAUUGAUACUGUUAGUCUAGAGUACAGUUGCCGUUGGCGGAAUAUGACAUGUAGUGGUGAAAUACUUAGAUAUGUCAUAGAACACCGAUUGCGAAGGCAGCUAACGAAGCUGUAACUGACGCUGAGGCUCGAAAGUGUGGGGAUCAAACAGGCUUAGAUACCCGUGUAGUC